UAAACAAGGCAUGUGUAGGAA
ensembl:piRNA 21ur-3684 ncRNA